rnacentral:rRNA from 1 species
CCCUUAGACGUUCUGGGCCGCACGCGCGCUACACUGACCAGUGCAACAAGCAUCCGUCCUUGGCCGACAGGCCCGGGCAAUCUUUGAACGCUGGUCGUGAUGGGGAUAGACUUUUGCAAUUUUUGGUCUUCAACGAGGAAUUCCUAGUAAACGCAAGUCAUCAACUUGCAUUGAUUACGUCCCUGCCCUUUGUACACACCGCCCGUCGCACCUACCGAUUGAAUGGUCCGGUGAAGCCUCCGGAUUGGCGCGCACCUCGGUGCCGCAGAGAAGUUGGCUAAACCUUACCAUUUAGAGGAAGGUGAAGUCGUAACA